AUUGAACGCUGGCGGCAGGCCUAAUACAUGCAAGUCGAGCGAGCGGCGGACGGGUGAGUAAUGUCUGGGAAACUGCCUGAUGGAGGGGGAUACCUACUGGAACCGGUAGCUAAUACCGCAUACCAUCGGAUGUGCCCAGAUGGGAGUGGCUAGUAGGUGGGGGAAAGGCUAACCUAGGCGACGCUCCCUAGCUGGUCUGAGAGGAUGACCAGCCAAACUGGAACUGAGACACGGUCCAGAAUCCUACGGGAGGCAGCAGGGGGGAAUAUUGGACAAUGGGCGCAAGCCUGAUGCAGCCAUGCCGCGUGUGUGAAGAAGGCCUUCGGGUUGUAAAGCACUUUCAGCGAGGAGGCGUUACUCGCAGAAGAAGCACCGGCUAACUCCGUGCCAGCAGCCGCGGUAAUUC
rnacentral:rRNA from 1 species